rnacentral:rRNA from 1 species
AACGAACGCUGGCGGCAGGCUUAACACAUGCAAGUCGAGCGCCCCGCAAGGGGAGCGGCAGACGGGUGAGUAACGCGUGGGAAUCUACCCAUCUCUACGGAAUAACGCAUGGAAACGUGUGCUAAUACCGUAUACGUCCUUCGGGAGAAGGAUUUAUCGGAGAUGGAUGAGGCCGCGUUGGAUUAGCUAGUUGGUGGGGUAAAGGCCUACCAAGGCGACGAUCCAUAGCUGGUCUGAGAGGAUGAUCAGCGACACUGGGACUGAGAAACGGCCGAGAUACGUACGGGAGGCAGAAGUGGGGAAUAUUGGACAAUGGGCGCAAGCCUGAUCCAGCAAUGCCGCGUGAGUGAUGAAGGCCCUAGGGUGGUAAAGCUCUUUCACCGGUGAAGAUAAUGACGGUAACCGGAGAAGAAGCCCCGGCUAACUUCGUGCCAGCAGCCGCCGUAAUAC